rnacentral:lncRNA from 1 species
AGUUUGUCGUAGUUUAUUGUGGGAACCGAAAUUCACACCGUCGAGUUUUGUUAAUCGGAGGAAAGCCAAGUUAACCUAGCCUUCCUUGAAGGUCCCGGUUAUUUGCUGGGCCACGCACAACACAAUCAAUAUGAAAGAUUCGAAAGUAAUAAAUCGUAAAAGAGCGAAAAGAGAACAAAGAGGUCUUAUUUCCGAAUUCGCGUUUGAGCGUGAACAACAGGUGAGAUCCUAGGCCACGAGAGCUGUCGGUAUGUUCGCUAGUAGUCUAGCCACCUAAGUUCUAACCUAGUCGAGUCGCAGCUCGAUAGUAAAAACGGAAAAAUGCCUAAAUUGCUCUAAGUAUUAAGUUUGCUGGUAGAAUGCUCUCCGUCCUAGGUCCUCCUUAUAUACUCCUCCUUAGGUCAGUUUACCUCUUCUCGGGCCGGAUUUGUCGUGAAGCGGGCUUUUCCAUAUUUCCUUCUUCUUUGUGAUUAUCUUCGGAAAUUUGACAUUUAUCUCUUCCCGCGGAUGCGAUAAACAGUCAUACCAGUUUUUGGGUUCAAGUCUUUUGGGACCAAAGAUGGGCCGUUGUCCGCAAUUCGGACCCUCUUUGGGCCGUAUCAAGACUUUAGCGUUCUUAUGAUUUUACUCGUGAAGUAGCCGUUGGUAUAGGAAUGGUUCUUCCAACGGAACCCUGUUUCUUCGCAUAGCCGAGGCAGUUGGUGUUAAGUUAACCGUAGCCUGCUCUACUACGAAGAAUAGGAAACUGUUCGAGAGACAUAACGUUCCCAACUUCCCGAAUACUUUCGACAAUGUUUUUUAGACGGAACAUUGGUGUCGUAUCCACGGACCCGAAGACUGAGUUACGGAAACUUCGGACGAAGAUGCAUGGUUAUGGGAUGGGACCGGGUUCGGAAUGGUCCACGGAGAAUUGGCAGCGGUCGCCGGGCGAGCCGAUCCGCGGCACGAUUGAGCGAGCCGACCGGCAACACGGACGUGCUCACCGGGAGAGCUGGCCCGUGUCACGGCCGAGCUCGCCGGCGAGUCGACCGGCAACGUGGCCAUGCUCGCCGGGCGAUCUGGCCCGUGUCACGCCCGAGCUCUCCGGCGACUCGACUGGCAACGCGGCCGUGCUCGCCGGGCGAGCUGGCCCGUGUCACGGCCGAGCUCGCCGGCGACUCGACCGGCAUCACGUUCGUGCUUGCCGGGCGAGCUGUCCCGUGUCGCGGCCGAGCUCGCCGGGUGAUCCGUUUCGGCUAUUCGUUUUCUUGGCUUUUGAAGUUUUGACCAAGAUUCGGUUUUUCCAAGGACUUUCGGACAUCGAUUCCGUCGUGACCGAUUUUGACCCCAACAGUUAGCCCCCCAGCUAGCUAGGAUCCGUGGACCUGGGUGUUAGGUCCUAGCUUGUGGUAUGGUCUGUUCUAGGUGGAAUUUAGACGUAAUCGUUUGUCGAAAGAUCGAAGGUGAAUAGUAAAAAAGAAAAAAAAUUGUAUAAGUAAGGGAAGUAAGUUUUUCAAAUUCUUUACUCACUUCUUUCCUUAAGAAAAGAUUUCUCCAAGAUAGGAAUUUUUUUCUCCAAGAUCUCUCUUUGCUCAAAGAAAAUGCCUUCAAGAAAAGGAUCUUCAAAGAGGAAUUCUUCCUCACGCUCAUCUUCGGGUGACUCUUCUGCCAAUGAGGUGAUCGCCCCGAAAGAAGAGUUUGAAGUUGAGGAAGAAGCAAAGGAUGCGUACUACAAAGCUCUUUGCGGCUCGCCUCCGCCUUCGCAAGACAUUCUGAUUCCUAAGAGGCCCGUGAGGUCGCCAAACGCACCCCUUGCACCGAGCAUGGUCUCUUCCGACUACCUCACGACUCUCAGGGACUUUUACCAGAUCCCAAGUGGAGUCGUAUUUCGGAUCCCGAACUGCAACGAGAGUGCGAAGAACCCUCCGGAAGGUUUCUUUACUUGCUACGAGGCCUUUCUGGUGUAUUGCCGUAUGUGGUUUCCGAUCCCUGUUACCAACGUCCGCGCGCUUCGCCACUUUUGGCUUUCGAUCAGCCAGCUAAGCGUUCCGGCCUUGCAGCAUUGGCUGGGCAUGUUGAUCUUGAGUUACGAGCUAGGAAUGGACCUUAACCCUGGCGACCUCGAGGGAUUUUGGUCUACGAGAGGAACGGGGAUCGAUGGCUCAUACCGCAUGGCGCCAAAGAAGGGUAUAGCUAUAAUUCAGGGGCACACUUCACAUCCUAAGGCAUGGUUCGAGCGCUUUUCCUUUGUCCGGAUAGAUGGGGAGUCUGUCGAGGAGAGCUACCUCCACCUAUUCCGUCGGGAGUGGAACUUCACCCGUGGUAAUACGAAUAGCUAUAUUUUUCGUUUUGAUACCUUAAAAACAUACGAAGACGUUUUUUUAUUAUCUUGCAGUGAACAGGAUCCUUCCGCCGACUCAUGCCGAUCUUUUUGCCAAGUGAGAUCUCCUCCGCAGCAGGCCGUUCUUCUGGAAUUCCUUUACCGUCGAACGGAUUCGAAGCGCGGUGGAGCUCCAUCGAUCUCGAGCCGUCUCUCAGCCUCUGGACGUUCCGUAUGGCGUAGAAUCGGUCAUUGAUGUCUUGCCUACUCAGAGGCAGAAAAUCAGGUCUCAGAAAGGCAAGGGAGUUGCCUCCGAGAAAGUUGCCUCCGAGAACGUCUUGGGAAACCUUCCACUGCCAGAAUGGAACCCUGGUUUCUCCCCAGGGGAAAGGAGUGGAACCAGCGAGGUUCCCCUUCCCAGCGACUUUUUUCCCGAACUUCCUCCCGGUUUUACUACUCAUAAGUCGUUGGACGAAGAGUCGAGGAGGAAAGUAGUCGCCGAAGGCUCCAGCCAGCUUAGUCAACGAGGUUUAUCCUUUGAACUUUGAUCUAAAUUAUGUUUUUUUUUGUUUCCCUUUCCGAUCUUAAGUUCGUGCAGGGGAUGAGGGUGUUCAAUGCGGCGCUCGACGAUUUCCGAUCUUAAGUUUGUGUAGGGGAUGAGGGUGUUUAAUGCGGCGCUCGAUAGAAGUUUCCGGGAGUCGCGUAUCUCUCACUUCAAAGCCGAGGAGGCUGAAAGGGAACUCUUUCGGUUUCGGAAGGAGGUCGAAGAACAGAGCCGGAGACAGGCUGAGCUCCAUUCUCGGGCCCUUGUCCGUGCGGAGAGGAGAGGAAAGAGAGCGAUUGUCGCCGAAAUGAAGCGGAGGGCUGCUUUGUUUGCCAGCGAAUUCGAGAGCUUUAAGGAUGCUCAAAAAUUCGUGGGCGAUUUUCGCGAGUGCCGUGGCUCGGUCGCUACCCUCUACGAGUCGCACAAAGAGGACUUUUCUUUUCCUGCUGAUACAAGUCGCAGAACGAGGACUUCUCUUUUCCUGCCGAGGUCGCCGAGAUGUCGGGUCUUAUGAACGGGUGUGCCCAUGCCGAAUCCUUGGUUCCUCCGAUCGAAGGAAGGGUCCGACAGCUUUGGAACUCCAUCGAGGUCUCGGAGGACACGGCAGAAGCGGGAACCGGUGUCGGUGAUGAAGGUGCCGGAGUUGCGGACGGAGAGGUGGAUCAGCCCGUGAGCUCGUUCGGGAUCUCCAUGUCCGGGUUCCUCGACUUCGAGCUUUGAGGAUUGUUGGGAUUAUUUCCCUUAGUUUUAUUUCGAGGUUUGAUGUAUCUAGGCCGAGUGUGGCCGUAUUUUAUUUAUGUGUGUUAUGGCCUUGCGAGGCUAUGUUAACUAUGUGUUUGAGACCGGCCGUUUGGUGGCUUUGGGUCCUAGCCAUUUUUUGCGGCUUCUAUAUAUAUGAUGAAUGAUUGACAUUCUGUGCGUUUUAGUUUAUACUUCUGCCAAGUGUGAGGGAAAGAUACGAGUAGUCACUUCGUAUCUUAACUCUUAGUUUAUCGUCUUGUUCGUUUGCUCUUACUGAACGAGGGCGUUCGAAAACGUUUAGGAGUUUCGCGAAGUUUCGUGAGCGUAUUAGAUAUAGACGAUGGGAUAUGUUUUUAAGAUCUCGUAUCAUGUCUUGAGAUGUUAGUGGACCAGUAGGACUGGGUUUAGGGCAAGACCUAGGUUUACUUUCGGCUCUAAGGCUGUGCGACGACUGAUCGGCUCUCGUUUUGCAUGUGGGCGAUUUCCACCUGGUUCUUUCCGAUUUAAAGUCCGUGACUUGGCGCCGGCUUAUAUGACUUGUAUGGAACGAACCGAGCACUCUCCAGAGACCGUCUGGAGUGCUGACCAAAAUUUCGGAUUUCUUGUAUAGCGCGCUAUGGUAUCCUCGUCGGAUGUAAGAGAACCUUUACUUUUACGAAAGGUUAGACUACGAGUUCUUUUUUUAGAGCGUUUUUGGGUUUAUCCGUCGGGGCCAAUCGACGGGCAAUUUUUAGAGUCGCGGACGGACCGUGUGUUUGGGUAAUGUCUCUCAAAAAUAUUUACGACGUCUCGCUUUUUCCGAAAGGUAUAUCCUUUCUAGUGAGAAAGUUACGAUCUUCGUUUUUAGAGAAGAUGUAUUUUGUCUUGCUUGACCAUUGAUAUGUUGUGAUUGUUGUUUAAGUUAGUUCCCAUCCAAGGACUGCUUGAAAGGUAUGCGUGUUUGGAGACCCUUGUCUUGGGUGUUUCUUAGGUUAAUCUCCGAUUGUUGUGGCUUAUUGGAAGUGAAUCGGGAGACCGUAAUAAAAUGAGUUUUAUUGGAAAAGUUUCGAAAAUAUCGAGUACAUGUGUGGAUAUUCCGAACUUUGUGGGAGUAUACGAGUAUACGAGUAUACGUACCCACUCCCCCCCCCCCUUUUGGAGAGGGGGAUAGCUGAACUUGUCAAUAGGACAAGCUGCCUACGUACCUCUUUCGAGGAUCAAGCCAUCUCGUAGUUCUGCUUUGUUGUUGCGGGCGUUCCUACUCGUUGGAUAGGGCCGUUUCUGCUACUUCGGCCGUUCAGGCUUUAGUUAAAUCGGCGGCCGUUUCGUGAGUCGGGUUUUCUGCUGGUAGGGCGAUGGACUCCGGGAUCGCGUCGCUGUCCGGAGCCGUUGCCUGGGCAAGUGAUUCCGAAUCGCUCUUCGUGGAACCUUCGGGAGUACUCUGAGUUUUCUUGACUCGCUUUGGGCUAACCGUAGGGGUGUUCCGAGUUUGUCGUAGCUUAUGCUCGGCCAAAAAGCAGAGCCUAGAUUGUUUCUGGCAUCCGAAGAUUACUGCUGUUCCGUUUGGUGUUGGGAACUUGAUGCUAAGGUGGUAAGUCGACGGUACCGCCUUCAUUGCGUUGAUCCAUGGGGUUCCCAUGAUAACAUUAUAGAUGGCUGGAUUAUCAGCGAAGUCAACGAUUUUCGUGACUUCCUUUGCCUUGACCGGAAGUUUGAUCGAUCCGAGGGUCAUUGAUGUUGUGCCCGAAAAACCGGUCAGUGGUUUUGGUUCCGGGAUGAUUUCCCGAGUUCGAUGUUCAUUCUCCUGAAUCGUUCUCGGUUUUUCGAGGGAUACCCAUUGCCGGAAUUUCGACCGGUACCAGAGAGUUUUCUUCAGAGCAUCGAUCGCCACUUUGUCGCUGAUCCCGGUGACUCUUGCCAUUACUAGCUUGAAUCUGUUCCUGAACUCGCGAAGUGGGUCGUCUUCUCUUUGAGACAGGCUCCAGAGAUCGAUGUCCGAGGUUUCUCUAUCCAUGAACAUGGAAUACUGCUUGAGAAACUCUGAAGCAAGUUGGCGGAAACUUCCGAUGGAAUUUUGUUUUAGGCGAGAAAACCAUUCGAGCGCGACUCCUUUGAGGUUUUCGACGAAGAGGAGGCAGUAGCCAGCGUCUCGUUCGCGUUCCUUGAGUUUUCACCUCCCCAUCGCGAUCUGGAAAGACUGCAGGUGCGCUUUCAGGUCGGUGGUGCCAUCGUAGAUGGGAAUUUUGAUCUUCCCCGGGUCCGAGACGUUGGUCUCAGUAAUCCGGACAGUGAACGGGGUUUUGCGUGCUUCCUCGAGAAGUCUAUCGAUCUCGGGCGCAGCGCUUGUCGCGUGGUGGAUUUGUGAUUUCACCGCUUUCACCUCCGCUGCGGUUUUCGCGAUGUACUCGCGGAGAUCGUGGAUCUCAUCAGGAUUUCUGGCAGCCUUGCGAGCUUGUCUCCUCAUGUUCUACCCAAUAGAGGUUUUCUUCUUCCUCGGUCAUGGGUUUUUCGAAGGACGCAUCCUGCCGAGCGGACUGGCUUCGCGUUCUUCUUGGGUGGAUGUCAGCACUGUCGUCCGAGUGCUCGGACUGGUCGCUUAUAUCCAGGCCGAUGCGCUCGAUUUCUUCUCCUUCGUUGCUCCCGGUAGGAGGUGGAAGGUUCUCCGCAGUUGGCUGUGCACCUGGCUGGAGCAUUUCAUCAGGGUUUUGGCCUGAGGAAGCCUUGUCCGCGUGUGCAGCUCGAUUGCCCGGAGUUUCGAAAUCAAGUCUUCUGCCGCUGCGGGAUCUUGUGGUUCAGCGCGGGGCUUUGCUCCUGGCCUUCGCCGUUAAGGUUUCCACCUGUUUUGCGAGAGAGGCCACGAGUUUUCCUUGUCCGUCCGUCUUUUUUUGAGCGGAGGCGAACAUUUCCUUCAUCUGGUCUAGUAUCACGGCGUCGGCAGUGACCGUUGAUACGUUUCCAGCUGGAGUUUUAUCAGCGUUGGCAUCGACGGGAGUCCCGUCGUGCGUUAGCGGGUCUUUGUCAGCGUUGGUCAUCAUAUCGGACUGAGCGUGUGUGGUUGCGAGAGAGAUAGAUCUGUACCCCCCUCCUUCUAGCGCCAAACUGUGGGAACCGAAAUUCACACCGUCGAGUUUUGUUAAUCGAAGGAAAGCCAAGUUAACCUAGCCUUCCCUGAAGGUCUCGGUUAUCUGCUGGGCCACGCACAACACAAUCAAUAUGAAAGAUUCGAAAGUAAUAAAUCGUGAAAGAGCGAAAAGAGAACAAAGAGGUCUUAUUUCCGAAUUCGCGUUUGAGCGUGAACAGCAAGUGAGAUCCUAGGCCACGAGAGCUGUCGGUAUGUUCGCUAGUCUAGCCACCUAAGUUCUAACCUAGUCGAGUCGCAGCUCGAUAGUAAAAAUGGAAAAAUGCCUAAAUUGCUCUAAGUAUUAAGUUUGCUCUUAGAAUGCUCUCCGUCCUAGGUCCUCCUUAUAUACUCCUCCUUAG